rnacentral:rRNA from 1 species
UACAGAGGUCCCAAGCGUUGUUCGGAUUCAUUGGGCGUAAAGCGCGCGUAGGUGGCCAUGUAAGUCCGCUGUGAAAGUCAAAGGCUCAACCUUUGAAAGCCGGUGGAUACUGCAUGGCUAGAGUACGGAAGAGGCGAGUGGAAUUCCUGGUGUAGCGGUGGAAUGCGCAGAUAUCAGGAGGAACACCAAUAGCGAAGGCAGCUCGCUGGGACGUUACUGACACUGAGGCGCGAAAGCGUGGGGAGCGAACAGG